UACGGGGGGGGCAAGCGUUGUUCGGAAUUACUGGGCGUAAAGGGUUCGUAGGUGGCCAACUAAGUCAGACGUGAAAUCCCUCAGCUUAACUGGGGAACUGCGUCUGAUACUGGUUGGCUUGAGUGCAGGAGAGGAACGCGGAAUCCCAGGUGUAGCGGUGAAAUGCGUAGAUAUUCGGAAGAACACCAGUGGCGAAGGCGGCUCACUGGCCCGGUACUGACGCUGAGGUGCGAAAGCGUGGGGAGCAAACAGG
rnacentral:rRNA from 1 species